AUGUGAAAUUGUGCUUCGUGCAACAUAAUUCUGGGUGCCAUUUACAAACCAUUAGUGCUAAUGACUCCAUUCCUUCUUGUGGUUGUAGGGGCUGUUGAUUGGAGUACUCUAAAACAAACCUGACCUCUCUAGGAUAUUCAGAAGCAAAGUUAUGAGCCCACAAAGGUGUAACUGGACUACUUCUUUAAAGAGCAAGUAACGUCUAAAUUAACUUUUUUUUUGCUGAUGAACUGUAUAAAUGAGUGUCUAAUAGUGUUUUAAAUGUGUGUAUUAAUUAUUUUAGCAUUUUGGUGCAUUUUCUUUAAAAAUUAAAAAUUCUGCCUAAAUACCACAGUAUAGCUCCACCUUCAGCUUAAAACAUAGAAUUUGACUCUUUUUGAAUACAUUUUAGCCAAUGGCUAAAGAGUAAGAUACUACGUAAACCAGUAGAGUACUACGUAGCAGCUCUGUGUCAACGUUAUAAAAGCAUCGGGAGUCUCGGCCACGCCUUGUGGCGAGUUGGGAGUUGGAUUUGCAAGCGAAUGUAGGAGGUUAGCCAUAGUUCAGCAUUAGCAUAUAGCAUUAGCAUAUCCUAGUCUUUAGCAUAGCUUUUAGUGUUAUACAUACUUAUUUAGUGUUAGCUUGGCUGUUGGAUAUUGUACUUUAGUUACUGUUUGGCUGUUAGUGUAAUUAGGAAAGUAGUUCAGGUUUAGUGCUCCAUAUCGUGUUAGCAUGGUGAGAUGGUGUAGUGUAGUAUGGUUGCGGAGCUCUGUCGGGUUGCACUCCUUUCCGCUGGACUUAGAAAUUAGGUGCCAGUGGUUGCGUGUCUGGAAAAGAUUCAGCUCCCGCCUGGUGCUGUAGUUUGCAACCAGCAUUUUACCCGCGAUUCUUCACGUCUCCGUUCCAAGAGGGAGGCUGUGCCCACCGUGGCUCUUCCGCGAUUUAGAUACAGCCCACCGACUCUGCUCCCCCACCAUGACGGGCUACAGUCUGAGGCUAAAUCUACCCAAGACAUUGGCUGUCAGACUGAUUUAGUAAUCUGCAAGAAUGCACUUGUCCAGGCUGACGUGGUGUUACCCGUAGCAAAGAGCUCACAGCCGCAGUGUGUCUUGUGACACAGGGACCAUGACGGAAAUUCAUCUUCCAGAAGGUCCCAGAGCAGCAUCCACACCUCCUGAAAAGGCCAAGAUGUGAGGUGUCUGCUGUUGAUUCCAGCUUCCACCUCAGUGACAGUGCAAGCUCAGUGAACUGUUCAAGGUAAAAAAAAAUUAAAACAUUUCUGAAUUUUUAAGACAUUAACAAUUAAAUAAGUAUGUGAUUACAUCAUGACAUCAUGAAGGUGUCACGAUCUGCCCCUACCCGCCUGACUGUGUUCCUCUCCUGCCAUGAUUACCCUUAUUGUUCUCACCUGUCCCUCGUUUACCUGCCCAUGUUUCCCUAAUUAGCCCUCUGUAUUUAAACCACCUGUUUUGCCCCUGUCCUUUGUCAGUUCAUUGCUGUUGCUGUCUGCUGGUGUUCCUGUUCAUCCCAUACUGCCAUUAAACCAUUUUUACUUUUUCUGAAGCCUGCAUUUUUACCUCCUGCUCAGCUCAACCACACAUGGUCCAUCAUCUCCACCUCCUACACCGUGACAGAAGGAGGCUACUGAUUCUGGCCCUGUGACACUUGGUGGUGACGUGUGAGCUGAUUCACCUGGACACUCAGCAAAAUAUGGACUCUACACCAUGAGGCAGGCACACGUUAAUACUCUAUAAGAGCACAUAAGGUGAGCAACACCACA